AAUUUGCAGUUCAAAUGACAAAGGGCUUACGGUGGAUACCUAGGCACCCAGAGACGAAGAAGGGCGUAGAAAGCAACGAAAUGCUACGGUUAGCUGCGAACAAGUGUACCCGUAGAUUCCCGAAUAGGGCAACCUAAAAUACUGCUGCUGAAUAUAUAGGCAGACAAGAGACAACCUGGCGAACUGAAACAUCUUAGUAGCCAGAGGAAAAGAAAGCAAAAGCGAUUCCCUGAGUAGUGGCGAGCGAAAUGGGAACAGCCUAAACCGCUAUUAUAGGCGGGGNUGUGGGGGGGNAUUUCAAUUUGAUAAGAACUAGGUGAAUCAGUUAAAUGCUGUACCAUAGAUGGUGAAAGUCCAGUAACUAAAAGUUCUUAAAAAAUUUUACUCUAACCCGAGUAGCAUGAGGCACGUGAAACCUUGUGUGAAUCAGCGAGGACCACCUCGUAAGGCUAAAUACUCCUGGGUGACCGAUAGUGAAGUAGUACCGUGAGGGAAAGGUGAAAAGAACCCCCAUCGGGGAGUGAAAUAGAUCAUGAAACCGCAAGCCUACAAGCAGUGGAAGGAGAAUAGAAUCUCUGCCCGCGUGCCUGUUGAAGAAUGAGCCGGCGACUUAUAAGCAGUGGCCUGGUUAAGGGAAUACCGAAGCCAUAGCGAAAGCGAGUCAUACUAGGGCGAACGUCACUGUUUAUGGACCCGAACCCGGGUGAUCUAUCCAUGGCCAGGGUGAAGCUUGGGUGAAACCAAGUGGAGGCCCGAACCGACUGGUGUUGAAAAACCAGCGGAUGAGCUGUGGUUAGGGGUGAAAUGCCACUCGAACCCGGAGCUAGCUGGUUCUCCCCGAAAUGCGUUGAGGCGCAGCGGUUGAUUGGACUAUCUAGGGGUAAAGCACUGUUUCGGUGCGGGCUGUGAAAACGGUACCAAAUCGAGGCAAACUCUGAAUACUAGAUAUGACUAGCAGUCAGCCAGUGAGACGGUGGGGGAUAAGCUCCAUCGUCGAGAGGGAAACAGCCCAGAUCACCAGCUAAGGCCCCUAAAUGGCCGCUCAGUGAUAAAGGAGGUGAGAGUGCAAAGACAGCCAGGAGGUUUGCCUAGAAGCAGCCACCCUUGAAAGAGUGCGUAAUAGCUCACUGAUCGAGCGCUCUUGCGCCGAAGAUGAACGGGACUAAGCGGUCUGCCGAAGCUGUGAGAUGUCAUACAAUAAACAUCGGUAGGGGAGCGUUCCGCGUUAGGUAGAAGCAUUAGUGUAAGCAAGUGUGGACGAGGCGGAAGUGAGAAUGUCGGCUUGAGUAACGCAAACAUUGGUGAGAAUCCAAUGCCCCGAAAACCCAAGGUUUUCUUCGCAAGGUUCGUCCACGGGGAGUGAGUCAGGACCUAAGAUCAAGCCGAAUGGCGUAGUCGAUGGACAACAGGUUAAUAUUCCUGUACUGUUUUUUGUUUGCUAUAGAGGGACGGAGAAGGCUAAGGGUAGCCAAAUACUGGUUAUUGGUUUAAGGAUAUUAAACAUCCGAUACUACCUAUGCCAUACUUCCAAGAAAAGCUCGAAAAGUGAAAAACACAAAACACCUGUACCUGAAACCGACACAGGUGGGUAGGUAGAGAAUACCUAGGGGCGCGAGAUAACUCUCUCUAAGGAACUCGGCAAGAUAGCCCCGUAACUUCGGGAGAAGGGGUGCCUCUUUUUUUUAAAAGAGGCCGCAGUGACCAGGCCCAGGCGACUGUUUACCAAAAACACAGGUCUCCGCAAAGUCGCAAGACGACGUAUGGGGGCUGACGCCUGCCCAGUGCCGGAAGGUUAAGGAAGUUAGUGACUCGAAAACGAGGUAGCUAGCGACUGAAGCCCCGGUGAACGGCGGCCGUAACUAUGACGGUCCUAAGGUAGCGAAAUUCCUUGUCGGGUAAGUUCCGACCCGCACGAAAGGCGUAACGAUCUGGGCACUGUCUCGGAGAGAGACUCGGUGAAAUAGACUUGUCUGUGAAGAUGCGGACUACCUGCACCUGGACAGAAAGACCCUAUGAAGCUUUACUGUUCCCUGGGAUUGGGUUUGGGCCUCUCUUGCGCAGCUUAGGUGGGAGGCAAAGAUAAUAUUCUUCCGGGAAUGUUGGAGCCAUCAAUGAGACACCACCCUAGAGAGGCUAGGAUUCUAACCUUGCGCCUACAAGAAGGUCAGGAGACAUUCCCAGGUAGACAGUUUCUAUGGGGCGUAGGCCUCCUAAAGAGUAACGGAGGCGUGCAAAGGUUUCCUCAGGCUGGACGGAAAUCAGCCUUCGAGUGCAAAGGCAAAAGGGAGCUUGACUGCGAGACCUACACGUCGAGCAGGGACGAAAGUCGGCCUUAGUGAUCCGACGGUACCGAGUGGAAGGGCCGUCGCUCAACGGAUAAAAGUUACUCUAGGGAUAGAUGUUUGUCCCGCUUGGUGGUAACGCCAAGGCAAUAAACUGGGUGAAUUGCAAGAAAGCUACCUGCUAAGCACAAGCCAACUUGCAGCGAAGCUUACCGACACACGUCUGUACUAAACAGUCAGUAGGUAAGAACGUUCAACGACUAGGGAGUGAGGGCGUGUUACCAAUAAACUCCCCACGAGCGCCCGGCGACUCUCAAAGAUAUGUUUAUUCUCUGUUUGUUUUGCUUGUUUAAGGAGAGAGGUAUAGUAAAUUUCAACUGAAAUGCUGGCCAAAUAAAAACAAAGGUCGGUCGGCAUGUGAUAGCAGUCUCUGGAAGAAGCUUUGAAGACUUUCAGGCGCUCACAAAAAACUUUAUCAUUCCAUCUAUGCAGGAAAAGCUUCCUUCCCCGCGCAAGCCCAAAAGGAAAGCAACAAUCAUGUAAAAUAUUAAGCAAGAUUCAAAGAUAGAGACUAUUGAUACUGAUACUGAGAGUCGAUGACAUAGUCUGACCUCUCGAGAAACCGAGAGAAGUCGGAGAUAAAGAACUCUGGCGAUAACAAUGUGAACAGGCUGAUCUUCCCCAAGAGUUCACAUCGACGGGAAGGUUUGGCACCUCGAUGUCGGCUCUUCGCCACCUGGCGCGGUAGUACGUGCCAAGGGUUGGGCUGUUCGCCCAUUAAAGCGGUACGUGAGCUGGGUUCAGAACGUCGUGAGACAGUUUGGUCCAUAUCCGGUGUAGGCGUUAGAGCAUUGAGAGGCCCCCUCCCUAGUACGAGAGGACCGGGAGGGACGCACCACUGGUGUACCAGUUAUCGUGCCAACGGUAAACGCUGGGUAGCCAAGUGCGGAGCGGAUAACUGCUGAAAGCAUCUAAGUAGGAAGCCCACCUCAAGAUGAUUGCUCUCUUUAAGA
rnacentral:rRNA from 1 species